UACGGAAGGCAGCAGUGGGAAUAUUGCACAAUGGGCGCAAGCCUGAUGCAGCCAUGCCGCGUGUAUGAAGAAGGCCUUCGGGUUGUAAAGUACUUUCAGUCGUGAGGAAGGUGUUAAGGUUAAUAACCUUAGCAAUUGACGUUAGCGACAGAAGAAGCACCGGCUAACUCCGUGCCAGCAGCCGCGGUAAUACGGAGGGUGCGAGCGUUAAUCGGAAUUACUGGGCGUAAAGGGCACGCAGGCGGUUAAUUAAGUUGGAUGUGAAAUCCCCGGGCUUAACCUGGGAAUGGCAUUCAAGACUGGUUAGCUAGAGUCUUGUAGAGGGGGUAGAAUUCCAUGUGUAGCGGUGAAAUGCGUAGAGAUGUGGAGGAAUACCGGUGGCGAAAGGCGGCCCCUGGACAAAGACUGACGCUCAUGUGCGAAAGCGUGGGGAGCAAACAGGGAUUAGAUACC
rnacentral:rRNA from 1 species